rnacentral:tRNA from 1 species
GAGGGUAUAGAUAGUGGUAGAGUACAUGCUUAGUAUGCAUGAGGUCCUGAGUUCAAUCCCCAGUAUCUCCA